CCCUAGCCCUGAUAGGAGCGGCAUCCUUUUUGUUUUUUCUUUAAAAACAAAAAGAUAUAGCGGAUAGCAGGAAAUAGC
rnacentral:sRNA from 1 species